rnacentral:ncRNA from 1 species
UUUAGUUACAGCGCCAGGACAAUAUUAAAAUAUUGUUGACGAGGAUUAGAACUUAUCGAAAGAUUCGGCGGAUGGUUCUAUGGCUAAAAGUUACGGUCAUUAAAAGCUACUAAAAAACUAACAACAAUGUUAGAACAAAGG